GAUGGGGAUGAGAUUUCAAUUGCUCCGGGACCGACGCAUCUCCUCACAUGGACCAGGUCUUCACACACCCAAAGCGGCUUCGCAGCGGCAAAAACAAUUGACAACCAGUCUCAUGACCCAGGCAGAGAUGCAGAAAGAGGCUCACCAAAGACAGGCCGCCAUGAGAGAAAUCGCUUUGUGGUGCAAAGGGCACAUUCGGACAAAGACACACACACACAUGGACACACACACACAAACCGACAGAGAGAGGGAAAGAAACACACAGAGACUGAGAGACAGAGAGAGAAAAGAGAACCGGACACACACACAGACACACACACACACACACACAAACACA
rnacentral:lncRNA from 1 species